AGUCUCAACAGUAAGCGGUUUUCCCCAAGUUUUCCAGGCCUUCGCGGUCUCAGCUGCCUAGUUUGGGCUGAGACGAUUGAGCCUGGAUAGGACCACUGACCCCUCAGCUGGGUCUGCACAGGCCUGGGGACCUUGUGAUGUUUGGAGGCCUGGAGCCUAGUUGUACCUGUGCACAGGAACCACUGGGCACCUUUCUAAAUCGGGAUUCCCGGCCUCCCCUGGCUGCCUGCGCACCGCACCCCCGGUUCCCCACGCCCCCUCGUUUCCCAUGCCCUGUGGAAUCGCAUCCACAUCUCUCACGCCCUCUGUUCCCUGCGUCCACGCCCCACACGCCCACGCCCCCACGCCCUGCGCUCCCACGCCCUGCGCUCCCACGUCCACGCCCCCCACGCUCUACAACCUUACGUUCACGCCCCCCACGCCCUGCGCUCCCACGUCCACGCCCCCCAGGGCCACACCCCCAUGCUCUGCGACCUCGGGUCUAGCCCCACUCCCACCAGUGUUCCCACAUCCACGCUCCCCACGCCCUGAGUCCCCAAGUCCACGCAGCCCGGGUCAGCUGUUCGCUGCUUCUUUCCUGUCAGUCCUUGGGCUUCGCUGAGGCGUUUUGGAAGCUUGCUGAGCCCUCUCGUCUCGCUGGGCACAGUCUAGCACCUCCGCUGUGACGGUUAUAUUAUACUGCAAACCAGCAGCAGCAGGUGAGAGGACAAGGACCCCAAAGGAUCCUUCAGGUCCCCAGUGGCCACAGCUGACCUGCCCCACAGACCUGCUGCUGCUCCCGCUGGCCCACCUGACCGAGGCGCACCUCUGUGCAUUCACUGCUUCCACUGAGUGUGUCCCUUCUGACCGGGGAAAACGAUCUGGAUACUGUUUAAAAGUUCCUUCAGAUGUGUUUUUCAUCCAUUCGCUGUGGAAGGGAUAUUAUGAAUAUUCAGGGAAAAGAUAGCCUGUGACCCCAACUGUCGAACUGUUUCAACACAGCGAGCAGCAAAGUGAACACGACCUACAUUGAAGCCUCCCAGGGGGAUCUGAAGUUGACAGGAGUUUACAAGAAGGAGGCCCACUUAUUUCUGAAAGCUUUUCAGAUUAAAGAGCCAGUGGAUAUUUUCAUCAGCAAUUUUGAGAAUGACAACUGGGGACUGGAUGGUUAUGUAUCAUCCAGACUUGAAAGGGAAGGGUUUACUUUUCAAGGUGACAUACACAGAAAAGACUGGGAAAUAUAAGCUGGAAAGGCAAGGUAUGCUGCACUUACGUGAUUUUUCAAAGCAAGUAUCAGAUUGGUCUGCAGAUGACUGAGCUGAGUGUGAUAGAAAAGACGUGAUUUAAAAGAAACAGAAACAAAAAUAAUGGGAAAGACUCAUGUAUUUGGAAAAAAGUCCCCUUCACUGGCAGCAAAAUAGAAAAUAUCAGCUGGUAUAAAUGCAAUAAAUAUGCAAGACACAGAAUAUCCUUAAUUUACAAAGAGAUAUUUUUGAAAAACAGGAAAAAAGGCAAAGUGGAAAUGCAAAAGAAUAAACAAACUACGUUACCCCAAGAAUAUCAUUAAAUAUAAAAUGGCCAACAAACUAUGAAAAGAUCUUAACUUGAAAAAUAUGUAUUAUGACAAUAAAGGUAGAUCAUUUUCAGCUAUGAGAAUGUUGAAGUUUCUUAACAAUGAUUUGGGGUGGUCUAGAAAAAGGCACCUGAAUGUUCAUUUUUGGUGAGUGUGUGAAAUGUAUACAAUUUGACAGUAUUCUUUUAUCAACGAUUCUACCUCUAAAAUUUUAAUCGACAAAUGUGAUCAUUUUUUUUUGCAUAUUCAGGUAUGUGUAUAGUAGGAUUAUUUUUAAUACAUGAAAUCAGAAAUAACCUGGGUAUCUCACACAUCUAUCUUAAAUGAAUUGCUUCUUACAUCAAUCUUAUACAAUGUGUUACAUUAAAUAGAAGACAGCUUAGUAUAUGUCACUAGAGAACAAAGAUUACAUAAUGAUGUAGAAAGAUGUUCAUGACAUACAUGAGAACGAAGUUUGUUUUAGACAGAAGAGACAAAUGUGCCUGCCUUCUUUAUGUCUAUCUCAAGUACUAACUAGACAUGAAAAAUGUUUGGAAAAAACAGUAGAUGUGAAGCUUACCUUAUCUACUUGCUAGUUUUGUGAUCCAGGAGGAAUUACAACAUUCUUGAGCCUAUUUCUUCGUCUGAAAUCUCAGUAAAGAGUCAGUUCCCUAUUGCUGUCAAGAUUGAGAGUCAGUAUGAGGGUUUGCUUUGUGCUAAAGCUCUUCUCACACACAUCUUCACUCAUGUUGCUACUAACACAGAUGAGAAGCAGCAUCUCUCACGGAGAUGAGAUGAUGAGCACUACGUUUCUCCUGAAUAGUAUCAGCUACUUUCUACUUUACUUACAGAGUGCUACUAACAUAUUAAUUGUACACAGAAGAGUACUUCAAUGUAGGAUUUGACACUGAGCAGCCUUUCAGAGGAAAGUAUAGUACUUGGCAAUGGAUGUCCCUGAUGUACUCAUGUCAUAAAACCUUUAUCAAUAUCCUGAGGGAAAUAUAUACUAACUGUGUAAUAUCACACUUGAAAAACAAAAAACUUGACCAAAAGGGAUAAUUAAUCAUAAAAUACUCUAAAUUCGCCUUUCCAAACUAAGACCUUUUACAUAGAAAAGCUUUAAAUUACAGUCAGCCAUCAAUGAGAUGGUGCUUUCAGUGGGGUUCUAUUAUUUUGAGAUAAUGAAAAUAGGCUAACACUAAUGAUAGUGAAGUUUUCUCUUGCUCUGAGCCAAAUCCUGUGGUUAUCUGCCCUCCUCUCUCCAAGACACACUCUCUAGUAAUUUGCGUCUACGAACACCCCAGCAAGCCAUGCACUAUACUCUGUGGAUGUCGGAGUUUACUGGUCCAGUCAGCCUGACGGGAACCAUCACUUUGCUAUUUUUUUUGCACCGCCCCAUUUCUUUUUAAUCUAACAAAACAGCAGCUUGCUUUAACAAGUAAUCUUUCUUCUCAUGUGAUGAUGAGCUUAUUGUCAGAAAAAACAAUUUCCCUCACAAAAUAAUUUGAAUCACAAGCAAGCCCCCCAUUCAACUAAUGAGAAAAGUCUGUGUGUAAGUAAUGCUUCAACAGGAGCCAUUCAUUUCAGAGUUAUGGCCACACUCUGUUUUUAUGGAUAAAAAUAAACCACCUCUUAAUUGUCUCCAGUCAGUAGAUAAAC
ensembl:lncRNA